CCUACGGGAGGCAGCAGUAGGGAAUCUUCCGCAAUGGACGAAAGUCUGACGGAGCAACGCCGCGUGAGUGAAGAAGGUUUUCGGAUCGUAAAACUCUGUUGUGAGGGAAGAACAAGUACCAACUAACUACUGGUACCUUGACGGUACCUCACCAGAAAGCCACGGCUAACUACGUGCCAGCAGCCGCGGUAAU
rnacentral:rRNA from 1 species